UGUAAUUUGGAGAGGAUGCUUCGGGUGUGGCCCCGGUCUAAGUUCCUUGGAACAGGACGUCACAGAGGGUGAGAAUCCCGUACGUGCCCGGUGGCCGCCCCCGUGUGAAGCUCCUUCGAC
rnacentral:rRNA from 1 species